rnacentral:lncRNA from 1 species
AUGUACUGUGAGGAGUGUGAUGACAAAGUGGACGCGACUGUUACAUGUGAAGUGAAGCAUCAUCCAGAGGUUUUAGUUCUGCUGCUGAAGAGGUUUGACUUUGACUAUCGUUACAUGAGAUACGUCAAAAACAACCGCGCUGUGAUUGUUCCUGUCACUCUGAACCUCCCAGAGAACCAGACCUAUGAGCUCUAUGCUGUGGUGGAUCACGCUGGUGAUCUCAGAGGUGGACAUUAUGAUGCAACGAUCAAGUCUCAGGACGACGAUCGAUGGUACAACUUCAAUGACGGCAUCGUCUCGUUGCUCAGUUACCAGCCGUUACAGGUGGAUCGCACUGAGAGGCAGGUUUUUAUCUGUUGGUUUUUAACACAUACAUGAUCCUGAAUAGAAAAACAACAUUCUAGCUCUUCUCUCGUCUCCAUUCAGGUCCCACAGCGCGUAUCUUCUAUUCUACAGGAAACAGACAAGUAAAGGACAAACGUUUCCUUCAUGUUCAAACACAGUUUAACAAACACAUCAAACUGAUACUUACUUUAUAUCUUUUAUGUAGGUGUGACACCAGGUGGACGACAGACCUCAGGUCAGAAACAGGAUGUGUCUUCUACAUGUUCAAACUGUUUGGUCAGUUGUUACAAUGUCUUCAGUUUUCCUUCAUGAUGCUUUUUCUCCUCAUUAGCUCCUAUAUAUCACGGUUUAUUGAACCAAGGAGCCACAUGUUACCUGAACAGUUUGCUGCAGGUGCUGUUCAUGACCAGAGAGUUCAGAGAAGCUGUGGACCGGUUUGUUAUAUGAAGUCAGUCAUGACUGAUUAAACCCCGCACAUUUGUCUGUCUGACCCUUUGUGUGUUUGGUUCAGGUACAUCAUGACUCUUAGAGUCUUGCUUAGAGACUUACACAGACACACAGUCGACGCCUGUGACAUCAUAACCAAGCUGCUCACCACAGGUACAGUAUCAGCUGAUACAACAGGCCUGAUGCAAACACACAACAGGACAUGAACUGUCCUGUUUUAAGAUCUAUUGUUUCCUGUCACUGAAGGGUUUAACACAGUCAGACGUUUGUUAAGUGUUUUAUAUUUUUACAGUGUUAUGUCAUAAACACAGCUCGUGUUGAUUUCUGCUCCUCUCUCUGUCAGUGUUUGAACCACAGGAAGCUGCUGAGGACGUCCAGAGGAUCUCUUUUCCCAACAUGCAUCAGGCUUCACAGGUAAAACAUGGCUGACAUUAAAACCAGUCUGUUAAACUAGAAGAAAGACGCAACUGGUUCAUCAUCUGUGUUUGUGUUUCAGUCCCAGACCAGAUGUUGUAAAUGUGAGACAGGGAGAAGCAGAGAAUCACCACUUU